rnacentral:rRNA from 1 species
UACGAAGGGGGCUAGCGUUGUUCGGAAUCACUGGGCGUAAAGCGCACGUAGGCGGUUCUUUAAGUCAGGGGUGAAAUCCCGAGGCUCAACCUCGGAACUGCCUUUGAUACUGGGGAUCUCGAGUCCGGGAGAGGUGAGUGGAACUGCGAGUGUAGAGGUGAAAUUCGUAGAUAUUCGCAAGAACACCAGUGGCGAAGGCGGCUCACUGGCCCGGUACUGACGCUGAGGUGCGAAAGCGUGGGGAGCAAACAGG